rnacentral:lncRNA from 10 species
AUGGUUUGGGCGGGGCUGCCCAUGGUUUGGGCGGGGCCCGGGGAAGUGGGUGCAAUCGAACUGCUCUUUUUUCAGGCGGUGGAAACUGAGGCCCAAAGUAAGUGAGGCUAGGGGCCUGGCGCAGUGACUCAUUCGUAGUGACUCAUUCUUGUAAUCCUAGCACUUUGGCAGGCAGAGGCGGGUGGACUGCCUGAGGUCAGGAGUUCGAGACCAACCUAGGCAACACGGUGAAAUCCCGUCUCUACUAAAAUACAAAAAAUUAGGUCGGACGCGGUGGCUCCCGCCUGUAAUCCCAGCAC